ACGGGUGCGUAACGCGUGGGAAUCUGCCCUUAGGUUCGGAAUAACAGCUGGAAACGGCUGCUAAUACCGGAUGAUAUCGCGAGAUCAAAGAUUUAUCGCCUGAGGAUGAGCCCGCGUUGGAUUAGGUAGUUGGUGGGGUAAAGGCCUACCAAGCCGACGAUCCAUAGCUGGUCUGAGAGGAUGAUCAGCCACACUGGGACUGAGACACGGCCCAGACUCCUACGGGAGGCAGCAGUGGGGAAUAUUGGACAAUGGGCGUAAGCCUGAUCCAGCAAUGCCGCGUGAGUGAUGAAGGCCCUAGGGUUGUAAAGCUCUUUUACCCGGGAAGAUAAUGACUGUACCGGGAGAAUAAGCCCCGGCUAACUCCGUGCCAGCAGCCGCGGUAAUACGGAGGGGGCUAGCGUUGUUCGGAAUUACUGGGCGUAAAGCGCACGUAGGCGGCUUUGUAAGUCAGAGGUGAAAGCCUGGAGCUCAACUCCAGAACUGCCUUUGAGACUGCAUCGCUUGAAUCCAGGAGAGGUCAGUGGAAUUCCGAGUGUAGAGGUGAAAUUCGUAGA
rnacentral:rRNA from 1 species